rnacentral:rRNA from 2 species
AGAGUUUGAUCCUGGCUCAGGACGAACGCUGGCGGCGUGCCUAACACAUGCAAGUCGGACGGAGAUAUACUAGUGAAGUUUUCGGAUUGAUCUAGUAACAUCUUAGUGGCGGACGGGUGAGUAACGCGUGGAUAACCUGCCUAUCAGACCGGGACAACUCCGGGAAACUGGAGCUAAUACCGGAUACGAAUAUAGGAGCGCAUGCUCUUAUAUUGAAAGAUUUAUCGCUGAUAGAUGGAUCCGCGUCCCAUUAGCUAGUUGGAGGUGUAAUAGACCCCCAAGGCGACGAUGGGUAGCCGGCCUGAGAGGGCGAACGGCCACACUGGAACUGAGACACGGUCCAGACUCCUACGGGAGGCAGCAGUGGGGAAUAUUCCGCAAUGGGCGCAAGCCUGACGGAGCAACGCCGCGUGAGGGAAGAAGGUCUUCGGAUUGUAAACCUUUGUUCUAUGGGAAGAAAAAAAUGACGGUACCAUAGGAGAAAGCCCCGGCUAACUACGUGCCAGCCGCCGCGGUAAUUC